rnacentral:tRNA from 1 species
UCCCUAGGGGUCCAGUGGCUAAGACUCCGCAUUCCCAAUGCAGGGGGCCUGGGUUCAAUCCCUAGUCAGGGAA